GAUGAACGCUAGCUACAGGCUUAACACAUGCAAGUCGAGGGGAAACGGCAUCGAAAGCUUGCUUUUGAUGGGCGUCGACCGGCGCACGGGUGAGUAACGCGUAUCCAACCUGCCCAUCACUUGGGAAUAACCUUGCGAAAGUAAGACUAAUGCCCAAUGACAUCCCACGAAGGCAUCCGAAUGGGAUUAAAGAUUUAUCGGUGAUGGAUGGGGAUGCGUCUGAUUAGCUUGUUGGCGGGGUGACGGCCCACCAAGGCAACGAUCAGUAGGGGUUCUGAGAGGAAGGUCCCCCACAUUGGAACUGAGACACGGUCCAAACUCCUACGGGAGGCAGCAGUGAGGAAUAUUGGUCAAUGGGCGAGAGCCUGAACCAGCCAAGUAGCGUGCAGGAUGACGGCACUAUGGGUUGUAAACUGCUUUUAUAAGGGAAUAAAGUGGGUCACGUGUGACUUUUUGCAUGUACCUUAUGAAUAAGGACCGGCUAAUUCCGUG
rnacentral:rRNA from 1 species